AGCAGCCGCGGUAAUUCCAGCUCCAAUAGCGUAUAUUAAAGUUGUUGCAGUUAAAAAGCUCGUAGUUGAACUUCGGGAUCAAUUAGUUGGUCAUGCCUUGGUAUGUACUGAUUUUAUUGGUUCUCACCUUCUAAAGAACUAUAAUGUCAUUUAUUUGAUGUUAUAGGGAAUUAGGACUGUUACCUUGAAAAAAUUAGAGUGUUUAAAAGCAGGCUCACGCUUGAAUACAUUAGCAUGGAAUAAUGAAAUAGGACAUCGCAUUCUAUUUUGUUGGUUUCUAGGAUCGAUGUAAUGAUUAAUAGGGAUAGUUGGGGGCAUUAGUAUUCAAUUGUCAGAGGUGAAAUUCUUGGAUUUAUUGAAGACUAACUACUGCGAAAGCAUUUGCCAAGGAUGUUUUCAUUAAUCAAGAACGAAAGUUAGGGGAUCGAAGACGAUCAGAUACCGUCGUAGUCUUAACCAUAAACUAUGCC
rnacentral:rRNA from 1 species